CCAAGCGGCAGCGCCCUCAUGGUGGAGACGUAAUGCAGGUCUGCUUGCCUCUGCAGCACACACACCACACUCUCGUGGAUGCCACGCUCUCAUGGGUGCCGCACACAGAGCGGAUAGCUGGCAAGCAGGGAGGAGGAAGGGUGGCCCAAACAUGGCAGGGUCCCCACCCCUGGGAAGGGUCACUCGAAUUUUCCCUAUCACUGCCGGCCAUGGGACGAGGGGAGGGAAGCUGGUGCUGGUGCUGAGCAACUGACCCAAGGCCCUGGAGCUCCUUGCUGGAGCUGGGAGGGAGGCAGGGGAAUGGAUCAGGUGACCUGUAGUCCUUCCAGACUCAUGACUCCAUGGCCAUGUGGCUGCAACAGGCUCCCUUCUCUACUCCAGUGAAUCCGAGUUGCUGUUCUGUCCCUUGCCACAGAAACCUGACGGACACAACAGCAUACGGAAUAACCGGUGGCCCUUGAGGGGGCUGGGAGAGCAGCCAUCGGUGACGUUAUCAGAAGGGAUUCCCGCUUUGGCAGGCGCUGGACUGGAUUAAUGACUUCAAUAAGCACAUAUUAGGCCCCUUCUGUGUGCUAGCUACAGGGGAUGCAGAGAUGCAAGCCAAUGGUAAAACAGUCUUUAACGUAUGCAAAGUAGGUUAACUGGAGGGUAGGAGUGCGGGGUA
rnacentral:lncRNA from 1 species